UUGGAUGGUUCGGAGAGACUGAGAACCCUUCUCCCACUCUCCCACUCUCCCAUUCUCCCACUCUCCCAAUCUCCCACUCUCCCACUGCAGGAGGGAAUGACGACUCGGAUUUUCGGGAGCUGCACACAGCCCGGGAAUUCUCGGAGGACGAAGAGGAGGAGACUACAUCGCAGGACUGGGGCACCCCCAGGGAGCUGACCUUUUCCUACAUUGCCUUCGACGGCGUGGUGGGCUCUGGGGGCCGUAGGGAUUCAGUUGUUCGUCGUCCCAGGCCCCAGGGACGUUCAGUCUCAGAACCAAGGGACCCACCCCCACAGCCCAGCCUGGGUGACAGCUUGGAGAGUAUCCCUAGUCUGAGCCAGUCCCCAGAGCCGGGGCGUCGCGGUGACCCAGACAC
rnacentral:lncRNA from 1 species